CCUGGUUAACCACCCAACAAAGGCAGGUCUGUUAUGCAAUAGACAAGGUCUUGAUAGUAACACUUGGGAUCCAGGCUGACUGGUCAGGGGCCUGAAGUGACAGAGAUUGAAAGACUGGGGACUAGGAGGUCUAAGGUAGCGGCAUGUGGAUGGGCAUGUUCAAGGCGCCAUGUUGAAGAUCUUCAUGUCAUUCCUUAAUGACCACCAGAUAUCAUCCUCCAGGGAAAGGACACUCAAAAACCGUCAAAACAAAAGAAGCCAGGGAGUUGACAUUAGCCAUUAGUGUCUGAAUGACAUGGCCAUGGUGGCAGAGGUGGAGGUCCUGCCUGGGUCCAACAACAUGGGCUCUCACUCACCGGGACCGACUUCUGCUACUGCUAUGUUCAACCUGCCAGCAACAGAGACUAAUGCGGAGACUCCAAAAUGGCAUGAUACCUCAAGGAGACCAACUGGACACUUGAAGGUCUCAUAUGGGCUCACGUGCUCUGCUUGAGCUCCUCUUUCCUGUGUCACCAUCUAAAAAGUAUCCUUGGUCAGAAAGCUUAAUACCUCCUCUGAAGACUGAUAAUAUACAUCAUCUUCCUGGACCAGUCUACAAGUGAGGGACAGUGAAUAUUUUGAAUGGCAGCUUUUAGAUAACAAAUCCUCAAAGAGAGAUAGAGUCUUACUCAUCUCUAACAUGUGCUUGACUGUGGAAGACUGCCAAUUAAUAAUGAUUGAGUGAUUUGCUAAAUAAAUAAAAUCUCUGAACAUUGC
rnacentral:lncRNA from 10 species